GAUCUGAAUGCUUUGUCGAUAUGGACGGAAGCGAGCUUCUUCACUAGAAUACAAUGUAUCCACCGUCAUUACUGCCAUUACCUGCUACUGAAUGUUUAUGUCAUUCAUUGAUCAUCUUCAUUCACAGAUGGGAGCACGACUCCCGGGAAGCCAUCGGAAGGGAGAGCUUUAGUCGCUGUUAUGGUGAGAAUUAUUCUAUCCUAGCAAUACUUUGAUAUUUAGGUCGUCAUUCCAAAAAAAUCAAGCUGCCUUAUGCAAGAAUAUUAUUUAUUUGCACGUGUUGCACUGUGUUCCUAGAACGGCAAGGGAUAAUUUAGCUGAAUAAUGGUGAAAUCGUUCCACUCCAUUUACAGAUUGACAACAAUUCCUAGAAUCCGGCUAAUGGAGGAAAAUGGGAACUCUUACAAUCCAGUGACCAG